rnacentral:tRNA from 1 species
GCGCCGGUGGUGUAAUGGUGUAUCCCGCCCGGUUCGAGGGAGGUGCGGGUUCGAGUCCCGCCUGGCGCU